rnacentral:rRNA from 1 species
GACGAACGCUGGCGGCGUGCUUAACACAUGCAAGUCGAACGGAAAGGCCUUUUCGGAGGUACUCGAGUGGCGAACGGGUGAGUAACACGUGGGUGAUCUGCCCUGCACUCUGGGAUAAGCCUGGGAAACUGGGUCUAAUACCGGAUAGGACCGCACUUUAGUGUGUGUGGUGGAAAGUUUUUUCGGUGUAGGAUGAGCCCGCGGCCUAUCAGCUUGUUGGUGGGGUAAUGGCCUACCAAGGCGGCGACGGGUAGCCGGACUGAGAGGUUGGUCGGCCACAUUGGGACUGAGAUACGGCCCAGACUCCUACGGGAGGCAGCAGUGGGGAAUAUUGCACAAUGGGCGCAAGCCUGAUGCAGCGACGCCGCGUGGGGGAAGACGGCCUUCGGGUUGUAAACUCCUUUCGCCAGGGACGAAGCGUUUUGUGACGGUACCUGGAGAAGAAGCACCGGCUAACUACGUG